ACUCCUACGGGAGGCAGCAGUGGGGAAUAUUGCGCAAUGGGCGAAAGCCUGACGCAGCAACGCCGCGUGGAGGAUGAAGGUUUUCGGACUGUAAACUCCUGUCAGAGGGGACGAAAAGGUUCCGGCAAAUAGUCGGUUCCAUUGACGGUACCCUCGGAGGAAGCCCCGGCUAACUCCGUGCCAGCAGCCGCGGUAAUACGGAGGGGGCAAGCGUUAUUCGGAAUUAUUGGGCGUAAAGAGCACGUA
rnacentral:rRNA from 1 species